rnacentral:rRNA from 1 species
ACGGGAGGCAGCAGUGAGGAAUAUUGGUCAAUGGGCGAGAGCCUGAACCAGCCAAGUAGCGUGUAGGCAGACGGCCCUACGGGUUGUAAACUACUUUUGUGCGGGAAUAAAAAAGCCCACGUGUGGGCUCUUGCAUGUACCGCUACGAAUAAGGACCGGCUAAUUCCGUGCCAGCAGCCGCGGUAAUACGGAAGGUCCGAGCGUUAUCCGGAUUCAUUGGGUUUAAAGGGAGCGCAGGCGGAGAGAUAAGCCAGCCGUAAAAUCGUGGGGCUCAACCCCAUCUCGCGGUUGGAACUGUCUUUCUUGAGUGCGGCAGGUGAAGGCGGAACUCGUGGUGUAGCGGUGAAAUGCAUAGAUAUCACGAAGAACUCCGAUCGCGAAGGCAGCCUUCAAGACCGUUACUGACGCUGAGGCUCGAAGGUGCGGGUAUCAAACAGGAUUAGAUACCCUGGUA